UACGAAGGGGGCUAGCGUUGUUCGGAUUUACUGGGCGUAAAGCGCACGUAGGCGGAUUGUUAAGUCAGGGGUGAAAUCCCGGAGCUCAACUCCGGAACUGCCUUUGAUACUGGCAAUCUUGAGGCUGGAAGAGGUUAGUGGAAUUCCCCAGUGUAGAGGUGAAAUUCGUAGAUAUUGGGAAGAACACCAGUGGCGAAGGCGGCUAACUGGUCCAGAUCUGACGCUGAGGUGCGAAAGCGUGGGGAGCAAACAGG
rnacentral:rRNA from 1 species